rnacentral:rRNA from 1 species
UAAACAUUGAUACCCUUUUACACCCACUAUCCGCCCGGGAACUACAAGCACUAGCUUAAAACCCAAAGGACUUGGCGGUGCUUAAGAUCCCCCUAGAGGAGCCUGUUCUAGAACCGAUAAUCCCCGUUCAACCUCACCCUCUCUUGCCUUUCCCGCCUAUAUACCGCCGUCGUCAGCUCACCCCAUGAGGGAACAAUAGUAAGCAAAAAUGGCACAGCCCAAAACGUCAGGUCGAGGUGUAGCAUAUGAGAGGGGAAGAAAUGGGCUACAUUCUCUAAAAAUAGAAGCAUACGGAUAAUAUAUUGAAACAUAUAUUUUAAGGAGGAUUUAGCAGUAAGAGGAAAUUAGAAUGUUCCACUGAAACCAGCUCUAAAGCGUGUACACACCGCCCGUCACUCUCCCCAAGUCUAAAUACUACCCCAUCAUAUAAUAAACCCAUUGACAUAGGGGAGGCAAGUCGUAACAUGGUAAGUGUACCGGAAGGUGUACUUGGACAAAU